rnacentral:tRNA from 1 species
UGGAGAAAAUGCGCUGGUAUUACAAUAAUAGGACGGGGACUCUGACUCCGUUAAUCUUGGUUCGAAUCCAGGUUCCCCAGCCA